rnacentral:lncRNA from 1 species
GUCACGUUAGUACUAGGCCGAGAAAAGGAACCAUCAAUGAAACAAAUUUUAUUCUUAGCAGAUAAAGCCAUAAUCAUCUUACGUUUCCAACCACCAUAACCACUACUCGAGAAGGGAGUGGGAACAAGGGACGCACCAGGCACAUCAGAAGAAUUUACAAACAAAGGGUUGGAAGGGUCUAUAGAACCAGAGUUACCACCAGAACCACUACCAUUGGUGUUAGAAGCCAUGUUCAAAUGAAUUAAAUCGUUCACAAAUAUCACCAAAAAUCAGUAUUCACAACCCAAACAAAUUAUUCACAAAUAGAAUCAAACAAUCGCACACAACCAAAGAAUCACAACCAAAGAAUAGGAACAAUGUUACCGUCCUUCUUCGCAACCGGAGAAGAUCGGCCUUUAACAACAGAUAAAACCCUAGGUAUGAACCCUAGGAGCAACCGUCAAAAUAUCGGCCUUUAACAACAGAUAAAACCCUAGGUAUGAACCCCAGGAGCAACCGUAAAAAUUUUGCCGGAGAUACCGUCAACGAUGUCGGAGCAAUAACGAUAACACCCAAAACAUCCGCAAAAAUGAGUAUCAAACCACCGGAUAGCAGUCAAAC